rnacentral:rRNA from 1 species
AGAGUUUGAUCCUGGCUCAGGACGAACGCUGGCGGCGUGCCUAAUACAUGCAAGUCGAGCGAGCUUGCCUAGAUGAUUUUAGUGCUUGCACUAAAUGAAACUAGAUACAAGCGAGCGGCGGACGGGUGAGUAACACGUGGGUAACCUGCCCAAGAGACUGGGAUAACACCUGGAAACAGAUGCUAAUACCGGAUAACAACACUAGACGCAUGUCUAGAGUUUGAAAGAUGGUUCUGCUAUCACUCUUGGAUGGACCUGCGGUGCAUUAGCUAGUUGGUAAGGUAACGGCUUACCAAGGCAAUGAUGCAUAGCCGAGUUGAGAGACUGAUCGGCCACAUUGGGACUGAGACACGGCCCAAACUCCUACGGGAGGCAGCAGUAGGGAAUCUUCCACAAUGGGCGAAAGUCUGAUGGAGCAACGCCGCGUGAGUGAAGAAGGGUUUCGGCUCGUAAAGCUCUGUUGGUAGUGAAGAAGGAUAGAGGUAGUAACUGGCCUUUAUUUGACGGUAAUUACUUAGAAAGUCACGGCUAACUACGUGCCAGCAGCCGCGGUAAUACGUAGGUGGCAAGCGUUGUCCGGAUUUAUUGGGCGUAAAGCGAGUGCAGGCGGUUCAAUAAGUCUGAUGUGAAAGCCUUCGGCUCAACCGGAGAAUUGCAUCAGAAACUGUUGAACUUGAGUGCAGAAGAGGAGAGUGGAACUCCAUGUGUAGCGGUGGAAUGCGUAGAUAUAUGGAAGAACACCAGUGGCGAAGGCGGCUCUCUGGUCUGCAACUGACGCUGAGGCUCGAAAGCAUGGGUUGCGAACAGGAUUAGAUACCCUGGUAGUCCAUGCCGUAAACGAUGAGU